CAAGGAAGAUGUAAAAGUUUUUUAAUUGAAACUACGGAAGAGGGUCCAGAAAUAGAACCAGCAGAUUCUAGUGGGAAGAGACCACAAGUGCUGGGACCAGAAGCGGGAACAGAUUAUAGAUUUAGCCAAAUUUUAAGAACAUUUGCACCACCCCCACAACCACCACCAAUAUAUCGAGAUCGUUUCGAUGAAAA